AAUAAUUUGGAAUGCCCGUUCUGUCAAGAUUUCCGUGCAAACGUGUUUUGGAAAUUCACACUUUCCUUAUGAACGGUAAAUCCACGCUUAGGAUUUCCCGGUUCCCCUCCUCGGUGUCGAGUUGAACUGCGUCUGGUUUCUUGGUGGGUGCGUAUGAGGCAAAGUUUUCGGCGGUGAUUUGGGUGUUCCUCUACUGCUUUUCUUUGGUAGAAAAAAGGUAACUAUGACUGUUUUAAAACCACUGUGACUCCGAUUGGCUGUGUGUGGGUUCGUGUGCGAGGAAGCAUUUUGAAGUGAUGCCGAAUAGGUUCCUCUGCGAGAGUAAUGGAAACCUACUAGCCAUGAAGAAGAAGAACUUUAUGGCAUUGGCACCACUGCCAGAGGCUUUCCUUCACUUCCUGAAGGCCAAGAUACAUUCGGUAUUUCCAAUUCCACCCUUUCUCCACCUCCUUCAUAAUCGCCUUUCAAUUUCACUUUUUUUUUCCUAUUUGUGCCUUCGAAGGAUGAAACCUGGUUCUGAAGCGUGUAUUGAAGAGGUUGAAGCAGAGGAGCUAAACUUUGUAUGAUAUUGGACCUUGGACCUUGUUGGUGACUUAGGCUCUGUGAGCGGAGUAGAUACUGCAAAAAUAUAUGCUUGGUGAUAAAUGCCGGCUUUUUUGUUUUUGAUGGAACAUUAUUUUCUCAGUUAUUCCUACCAGAUUCUGACUGUGAAUCAUGUAAUUGAAGUUUUAGUUGUUUUAAAGAUAAUUCAUCGUAGAAUGCAAUAAUGUGGAUAUGUAAAUAUUGUAUUUAUUAUUCAGUGUUGCUUGUUUCUGAAAAGUUUUUUUCUAUCAAGUAUCAAACAGGUGAGUUGGGAUCGGAAGAAAGAAUGAAUGUGUUCAAGGAGUGGUUCUCCACAAUUUUUGUCUAGCUCCCUCCCUCCUAAACUCAUUUAUUAUCACAACGUUAUGGGAAUGUUGGUCUUACUAAAGAACAAUUAUUUGAAGACUUUAUCUGACAGUGAGAUUGCAAACAAUGGUUAUGACAAGAUUCACAUAUGACUUUAUCUGCAUGGAAAAGAACUGGGAUUUUCUUGUGCACAGGAUUGGACUUAAGAAGAAGUUCACUUUUGGGAUUGAAGGUCUCUUCAACAACCUCAUAAUCUACACCCUUGAGGUUAAGGGCAAUCUGCACCCUUAGAGCAAAAGGGCUGGACCAACCACCCAAAAGCUUCA